GCUGGAGGUCAAAGAAGGGGUGCGUGGGAAUGUGUCGGGAACAUGUGGAGACAGAAGAAGGGGCACACAGGGAGCAGGCCCGUUUGGAUGAGGGUAGGAGUGGGUGAGGGGCUAGAGCUGGAGAACUGUGGUGCACCCGGGCAUGUUCGGACGUGGGAGGACAGAAGACUGGCUGCAUCCCAGCUUUCCGCCUCCUCUUUUCCGAGAAGUGACAGUGACUGCCUGCUGGCAGCCUCUCAAGAGAACCAGUGACAGGAGAAGAAGAAAGGCCACUUGUGGCUGGGUCUCUGUCCUGAGCAAUUCCUGAGCCCUGAGGGAAGGUGUUUGAUGACAUCUCAGUAAAGACUGAGUGUUCCAGAACCUUUCACUCUCCGCAUUGACCAGAUGUGGUUCUCUGAGUUCCUUCCCAACUUUUGCAAAAGGAAGCUUCCCAGAUGAUGGCUAAGCAAAGGCACUGAUCUGAGUCACAGCCCAGUGUGUCUGACUUCUACUUAGAAAAAAAAAAGUAAAGCAUAAACAAAUAAACCUACCCCAAACACCUCAGAACAAAACAGUUUGAUCUUGUGAACAUCCCCACAGUGUGUAUGUAAAGUUAGUGCAAAAAUUUAUGUUUUUCUCUUGUUAAACAAGAAAGCGAUUAGCUGUGCUCUUAUAUCUAGCAAAGAGCCCAUCUAGGCAUUAAGUGAGCCACAGGGCAUGACCAUCCCUACCCUGUUCCAAAUAGGAAGAACCCUCCUGGCUUCUCCAAAUGAUGACGACCUCCCAACAGCCGUUUGUCUUUGUCUGCCAUUCCAGGCUCAGCCUCUUGUUCUUGCAACUAGUUAGACCUUGUGCUGAGUCACCCAUAUGGCGAAGGCCUAACCACCAGGCUGGGCAUUCCUUCCUCUAGCUUCCUCCUCAACAGACCGUAGCCUCAAGAGGGUCCUGGUGCUGCCCAUGUCAGGGGUAG
rnacentral:lncRNA from 1 species